AGCACGUUAUGGUGGGCGACUCUAAGGAGGACUGCCGGUGACAAACCGGAGGGAAGGUGGGGAGUGACGUCAAGUCAUCAUGGCCCUUACGGCCUGGGCUACACACGUGCUACAAUGGUCGGUACAAAGGGUUGCCAAGCCGCGAGGUGGAGCUAAUCCCAUAAAACCGAUCGUAGUCCGGAUCGCAGUCUGCAACUCGACUGCGUGAAGUCGGAAUCGCUAGUAAUCGUGAAUCAGAAUGUCACGGUGAAUACGUUCCCGGGCCUU
rnacentral:rRNA from 1 species